GAAUUAACACUUUUAAAGAAUACAUCGAUAAAUAUUUCCCUUUUGGAACCUUAUUUCAUGUUAUAGAAGUGACCAAAGUAUCUGGGAUGUACACGUCCGUAAUUAUCCACUAAUUUUAUUUCAAUACAAUAAACAAAGGCGAUGUCUUCAAAGGGUUAUUUAUUGAUAUACAAUAUUGACACAUCUUGCUUUCAUAUUCACACUUGCACCCAA
rnacentral:lncRNA from 1 species